AGGCUCCUCCGACGUCUGACUCUUCAUGGGGCAGCAACAGACAUCCUGGAAGUAAGACAGAUUCCAGGUAGAAGAGAACACUUACAUGUGAGCUGGGAAAAACCUGUGUCCCGCGGAAAACAGAGAGGGAAAGAGGAUAAAAUGUGUAGUGAAUGAAAACCGUAGCAGGAAAAGGCAGAAAGCAGCACAUUGAAGUGAAGCAGUGAAGUUCAGCUAGCGCCAUCGCAGCCCCGAAGCAGGCAGCCUGAGCCGAGGCCAGCCAAGACCGCGCCGGAUCUGUGUCAGGGAUUUUUAGGUUUUUUUGUACCUGAGAUCAAACUCACAACCUUGCACUUGCCAGGAAGGUGCUGAUGCCACUGAGCUUAAUCCCCAGCCCCGAUCUGUUUUUUUUCUAAAUUUUUUAUUAUUUUGAAGGUAGUAAAAUGCAACAGGACAAGACGGAACAAAGCCAACCUAGGCCGUGCAGUGAAAUCGGUACAGAACUUCACAGCAGGUUACCGGGAUCACAGUAAUAGGUGUCACAGUAGAUCUUGUUAUGUUCACAAUAGUUGUUCUUUCAAUCAGGGAUAGAAAAAUCAAAUGAAAUACAGAACACUAUAGAACUUAUCAAAGUAGAAUAUUGAAUAGAGCAAUACCAUUAAUCAGAACAAAACAAAACAGUGAUAAAAAUAUUUGCCUUCAAAGAGAUGGUAGAAGGAUAUUUGCAGGGCUGGAGAUUUAGCUCGGCGGCAUAAGUACCUGCCUUGCAAGCAGGCAGUCGUGAGUUCGAUCCCCGGUACCGAUAAAAAUGAAAAAGACCAAAAAAAAAAAAAAAAAAAAAAAAAAAGAAGGAUAUUUGCUAUAUUGCAUAUGGUCAUCUUCCCAAGAGAUGCUCAGAUCUCUGGGUCCCAUUUGCUAAUGGUGGGGGAGGGGUGGGAUGUUUGAUUCUCAGCCCUCGUGCUCACUACCGCUUACCAGGGGGGUGAGUGGGUUGCUUGGUUUCCCAGCACCCUAAGUUCCAACAUGGUGCAGAUCUCAAGAGUUGCUGGUGGUUCUUCCCCUGGGGCGGCCACAGCCUACCCAAUCUGUUUUGAAGAGAUAAUAAAUACAUUCUUAAAAACCAGACAUUAAGAAUGGACACAGUCAAGCAAACCUGAAAUCCCAGCACUCAGGAGGCUGAGGCAGGAGGAUCUAUGCAAGUUUGAGGCUAACCUGGGCUACAUACUAAGUUCAAGGCCAUCUUGAACUGCACAGUGAGAUCCUGUCUAAAAAAAGGACAUUCACAUUGGGUUAAACAGAUCCAGUAAUAAGUUACCUAAAACAUAAACAUAAGUAAAAAUGACACAGAAAUUUUUCUUUUUGUACUGGGGAUUGAACUCACGACCUCCCACUUGCCAGGCAGGUACUUACAUCGCUGAGCUAAAUCCCUGGCCUGACACAGAAAAUCUGAAAAUAAAAAUGAGAGAAAACAUUAGAACAUUUGAACCAAAAAGAGGAGGAAAAGAUCUUAAUACCUGACGAGACAGAUCAUAAGACAAAAACAAAUCAUAAAGGACAAAGAGGAGCACAUUGCUGAUGAGCAGAACAGCAAGAAGAUAAAACCAGCCAACAAGGAGGAAAAAAAGGAGGAAAUAAAACCAUCAAAACCGUGGCUGCGGGCUGGGGAUGCAGUUCAGCGGCCCAAGUGCCUGCCUGGCAAGUUCUAGGUUAUGAGUUUGAUCCUCAAUGCCAAAAAAAUGUGGCUGAAUUCUGGGCAAGAAAUCAAACACCUCCAAUCCCAGCAGUCAGAAGACUGAGGCGGAAAGAUCAGGAGUUGAGGCCAGCCUGGGCCCUCAUACCAGAUUUAAGAGCCAGGCGUGAUGCCACACGCCUGCCAUCCCAACACUUGGGAGGUUUGAGGCCAGCCUGAAGCACACAGCGAAACCUCAUCUCAAAAAGACAAAAAAAAAAAAAAAAGGAAAUUAAAUCAAGCAUUCAUAAAAUGUAUAUACAUUGAAAGUUUUAGUAGCACACAUAAGUUAAAUGAGGUACUUUGUAACCAAAGAAUUGUUCAAUUAGCCAUUUGAUUAAAUAAUGAAAAUAUCAAUGUUUGAUCUAUAAAAAUGAUCAUUUCAUAUUAUACAAUCUAUAGCUUACAUGUUUUUGUUUUUGAAACAGGGUCUUGCUAUGCAGUUCAGGCUGGCCUUGGGCUUACUUUGUAGCCCAGGCUGGCCUGGAACUCACAAUGAUCUUUCUGCCUCAGCCUCCCGAGUGCUGGGAUUACAGGCGUGAGCCACCACACCUGGCUUUGUUUUUGUUUUUGAGGCAGGAUCUCACUAUAUAACCCAAUCUGGCCCUGAACUCACUUUGUAGCCUACGCUGGCCUCAAAUUUGUGGCAAUCCUCUUGCCUCAGCCUCCUGAGUGUUGAGAUUACCACCAUGUGCCCACCAUGCCCAAUUUAUGACUUAUUUGUUGAAGGCAUUAAAUUAACUAUAGGAUAUCAGAUAAUUAGCACAAUAUCUAAGUUGGUCUCCGUUUUUUUUUGGCCAAUAAAAGUUUUUUGUCUACUAAAAAUAGUUGUUUCAGUUGUUAGUGACUAUCAACUAAUAUCAGAAAACUGCACAGGACAUGACGUGUAGGGUCACGGUGCCUGUUGGCCUGACCACAGGACCACCCAUGUAGGCCUGCACCUCACCGCUCAGUGCUGAGGAAUUCUGGGUGCCCCACCGCCCAGGCUGGACUUGUGCCAGACUCCGUUGUGAUUUGAUGCCACCUGGUGGUAGUGGCGGACCCAUUUUUAAUACCAGGAGACAAUUCUGAGUCCAGCAGCAACAGCCCGGGAGCACGGGUGACUGGCAGUGACCCUGCGAGCUGGCCACAUCCAGGGCAGGGCAGGAGGCACCAGAGGCCCAGCCUCCCCAGUCUUCCUGGGAGCUCAGGGGCCUCUGCCCAGCUCUCACGGCCUUGGUGUCUACUCUAUGCACCACAAAAAUGGAAUUCUAACCCCAUCCCAGCCCCCAGGGGUACCUGCCCUGCCAGACGGCAAGGGCACAGGCCACACAAAGUGGAAAAAUUCAGCCCACUGAAGAUGAGUCCUACGGUGUGAAAGCCACGGAGUUUUAAAUCAGCGUUUCAUAAAAUUGCCUUUGUGAGUGAUCCCUGGCGGCUCAGCAGACUGGGAAAUUCUUGGUUACAUUUCAGGGUGCACUGGGUGGGGCACCUGAUCUGCUACUGUUGCCCCCCACAAACCCCUCGGAAAGCCCCUUCAGGGCUGCCCAGGGAAGCGGUCAGGUAGCAGGUACUAUGUUUCUGUGUCUCUGUGCCCAACCCUCUUCUGGGCAGCGCGGCCCCUUGAUUUACCCCUGGAGCGAGGUGGACUGAGGUAGCUGCAGCUUUUGGAGCAGGGUCUUGGUGGCUUUGUGUGCCGUGAAAGUGCUAAGCACCAGGGUGCUGGUGGCAGGCCAGGCUGCAGGGAGGCCUCAAUGCCACCGCCUUCCCCAGGGCUCGCGAAGGGCUAUUCUCCUCUCUAAGCACCAGCUGCCCUGCUCACAACGUGCUUCUCCUGGCUUUGUGGCUCAGAACCUUACCCAGCCCCUCCACACCCUGCUCGGCCUCGCAGGAACCUCUCCUCUGGGGCUGCCUCCUCCGUACUCCAGUUUCCGAGCUCUGAUGGAUUCCUCAGCCCUGGAGGACAGGGACAUCGCUUACCCGUUUGUUUCUUGGUUUGAGACAGGCUCAGCGCAGAGUCAGCCCACCUUGAACCCACUGUGUAGCCCAGUCUGGGCUUGAACUCACGAUCCUCCUGCUUCAGCCUCCCAAAUGCUGGAAUGAUGGGUCUGUACUGACGUGUGUGGUGUUUAUCCGUUUCUUACUGUGAUGACAUAGUCUACGUCCACGUCUUCUGACGAUAAUUAAAUUAAGGACAACGGAAGUAGACAGGAGGAUUGUUUGUCAGGAAGAGAGGAGACAGUCACAUUGUUAGGGAGGGGACCCAGAAGUGGCUGCUGCCUUGGGGACUCUGAGUCUCCAAGCCUCGUUAUGUAGCCCAGGCUGGCUUCGAACUCACAGUGAUGCUGUUUCCACCACUCAAGCGCUGAGACCACAGUCGUGCCCACCACACCCUGCUGCUCUAGGUUUAUAACCAGAGCUGGGAGGCUUCUGAGGAAACCAGAGGUGGGGACCAGAGUCGCCCAGCAUCACCCCAGCAGCAGAGUCUCGGCAGCACACACAGGGCCCACACACAUGCCCAGCUCCAGGGGCUCACUUCGUCUGCCAGGACCCUGGACCCAGGAAUGCAGGAGCCCUCUCGGGGCACUAGGUCUCUAAAAGGCUUGCGAGCACCAGUGUAGAUGACGGACAACCUAGAGGACUAGGAAAUGGGCACGAGAGGAGUCAAGGCACAUAGCAAGCACCUGUACCUCUGCGGGUGCCUCUUAGCCUCUGUCCUAUGCAAGUGGCCCAUUGAAAGGACAAAAUAUUUAUUCCAAGGAUGUGGAGAAAAAAAAAGAAAGAAAGGACAAAAUAGCCAGGUGUGGUGGUGCACGCCUGUAAUCCCAGCACUCAGGGGCUGAGGCAGGAGGAUUGUUGUGAGUUCGAGACCAGCCUGGGCUACAAGGUGAGCCCAAGGCCAGCCUGACUGCAUAGUGAGACCCUGUCUCAAAAAGACAAAAAUAAAUAAAUACAUAAAAGAAUAAAGUGAGCUUUCCAGACAGAUCAGAGCAGAAGUUGUCAGAGGUUUACUAUCACCUUGCUGGUCACCUCCCUUGUUAUAACCCUGGACUUCAUUGCUUUCUGGUUCUUGGCAACCCGUGCUUCUGACCAAAAACCUGGACUCUAACUCCAGAAUUCUCCAGAAGAGAAUUCAGCAUGUAAGCCAGGCGUGGUGGUUCAUGCCUGUAAUCACAUCACUCAGGAGGCUGAGGCAGGAGGAUCAUUGCGAGUUCGAGACUAACCUGGGCUACAAAGUGAGCUCAAGGCCAGCCUGAACUACAUAGCUCGAGACCCUGUCAAAAAAGACAAAAAAAAAAAAAAAAAAAAAUAGAGAAUUCGGCAUGUACUAGAUGUUUGAGACUUGGAGAAUCACAACACAAAACUGGUCUAAACUAAACCAAAACUUUCGAGUUUCUCCCGUUUCUCCUGAUGCUGUUAGUUGCUUUUUAAAAAUGUUUUUGAUUUUACUGGAGAAGGGAGACUAAUGAACUUAAAAUGUCUCAUGUAAACCACUGAGACAGAAAGGAAGCAGGUGAGUGUGGAUUAUCGGAUUCCUCCGGCCUGAACCCGACGGGUUCCAAAGGUUAGUUGCCCGCCUUGCUCUCUGCUGAUUACACAGGUCAGGAGGGUAAUCGAGUCAUUUAUUUGAACCAUUUUCUCCCAGUGUGUUUCUAACAUAUUUGCCCCAAUCCUGGCCACUAAGUCAGUGCUGCACUGAGACCAGCUUCUGUCUCCCAUCACCAAAGAAAUGGUGAACAAAGGUAAUUUCCAUGCCCUUCUGCCCCCAAAUCUGUCACGUUCCGGAGCACAGCGCUUUAAACCUCAGUGAAAACCUACGCGCCGGAGGGCUCAGUAAUAACCAGGACGUCUGUUUAUCAUUAACUCAGUGAAUAAACCCUCCAAGGUACUAAACGCCUUUUGGAGGAGCACCUUAUUCUGUGUCUUUUCAAGAGCUUGUCACCAGAGGCAGUGUUGCCUAGUGGUGAGCUUAGCAGACAGCUUCCAGGUUCUUCUUCGGGACACUCAGAGAAUUACAACCCAACUGAUAGCUACAUGGAUGGAGGGUCACGGCAAGUGGUGCUUAGGGCAAACCUGCGCCAGGAAAAGACAGGGCAUGAACGGAAAACAGGGCCAGGGACAGGAGAGCAAGAGCAUCGUGCACAGGUGACUGGCACAGGUGACUGCACACAGCGCUGGACCCGGCCACAGCCGGCUUCUGGAAUUUACUGUGAUGCACUUGAAGUUGAACGCUUAAGAAGGGAAGAGAUUUCUGGAGGCUGGAAGCCCAAGAUCAUGCAGCCCCGUUUGUAACUCCGGCAUUCAGGAGGCUGAAGCAGGAGAAUCACCAUGAAUUCAAGACUACAUAGGACUACACAGGAAAACAGUCCCUCAAGAACUAACUCAGUUCCCACAAAACUCCCUUAAUCCUCCCUGAGGGUGCCUCUCUCCAGUGACCAGAGAGACUGUUCUCCUUCUAGGCUCCAACUCUUGACGUCAUCACAGUGGGGACGGACUUGCAAUGCGUGAACCUUUGGGGACAAACUUAAGCAACAUCUGAACACAGCAGGAAUAAACUCUGGAUGCCGCCAUCCCGCCUGCUCUGAGUCCAAGGGUUGGCUGCCACUCAUCAAAGUACUCGCGCUGCUGUUUUCCAGACAGUAGAGGAAAGUUCCUAUUGUUUGUUUUUGUUUUGUUUUGUUUUUUUAUAUGUACCGGGGAUCGAACUCGAGAUGGCCUGCUUGCGAGGCAGGUGUUUAUGCCGCUGAGCUAAAUCCCCAGCUCCUUGUUUGUUGUUUUUUUGGACAGGAUCUCACUUCGUGGUUCAGCCUGGCCUCAAACUCUCGAUGGAGCCCAUGCUGACCUCCAAAUUCAAUGUAAUCUUCCUGCUUCAGCCUCUGAGUGCUGGGAUUAUAGAUGUGCGCCACCAGGGCCAGCAGGAAUGCUUCUCUUUACCUAAGAUUUUUUCCACCCAUGUAGAAACAAAAGACAGACUGACAGGACUAGGGAUGUGGCUCAGUGGUAGGACACUGGCCUCACACGUCUGCAGCCCUGGGUUUGAACCCCAGCACUACAAGGAACAAAUGAAAGAAGACGGACUGGCCUGAUAGCUCGAGUUGCAGCGUGAGGGCUGGCCUGGGGGCUCUCUGCAGAGAGGAUGGUCCGGCGUCUGUCCUUCUCCCUGUCCCCUGCCUGUGGCAGUGGGGCGCAGGGCGCUGAGGACAGACACCUCCGGGGAGAGCCAGGCUGCCAGGGCCCUGCAAGGUGCGGUCCCCAGAAGUCCCUUACCUUGAGCCUCCGAAAGGAUACCAUGAAGUGGAAAGUAAGUUACAAACGGGCCGAUUAGCCUGCGUGCUUUUACUGCUAAACCCGAAGCCUUUGGGGUUUGCACGUGUGCAUGAGCAGGAAAAACUGUCCAGCCCUAACUGCCAUGCGGGUGGGCUGGUUAUUUGACCAGUUCCCUGGCCUCCUGUGUAACCAAUAAAAGUAACGGCUCUCCUUUA